ACCUCGUCAUUUAUGUUUCCACAAGUGGAAAUGCUAGUUUGAUGUGUCACGUGAUAUAUCAAAUCUUUGAUUAAUUUGUCAGAACCAGAUCAAUUACACUACUGAUAACAGUCCUGAAAGCAUGUAAUCAUUUUUUUAAAAGAAUUCAUAUGAACUUGCUUUUUAAUAAUGGAUGCAUUUAACAUUUAAUUAUACAGCAUCUUUGCAGAGGCUGCUUUCAUGGUCUAAAACCCCCCCCACUGUAAUGUAUAUAAGUUGCAUGUAAUGUAAUAAUAUUUCCUUCCUUUCUGUCUUACAGGAUUGCUUGCAGAUAAUGCUGUUCUUCUUUUUUUCAGGUCUACAACAUCGAGCUCAACAGAUCUUUUUAAGAGCCAACCCUCACAAACCUUGCUCUCAGCGAAUCUUGCCAUGAUCAGCCCUUUUCCAGAAGAGAAGAUCAAGGAAAUUAUUUGUUCAGGAUGAGGAAUGAAGACGGCCAUCUUGUGCCCAAACGAAGACAGAAAGCUGUCCACUGAUGAUCUCAUCAGCCAAAUGAGGGGUUUUGACCAAGUGAUGGUCUUGAAAGGAAUGAAAGAAGAGGAUGUGGUAAAUUGUCUUCAAAGAAAAAGCUUCUCAAAAGGUCUUAAAACAGCUUGAAGAAUGGUCUGGGAACUGUCUGAAAAUGGGAUGUUAGGACUGAGAGAUCCUCUGGCUGAGAAAAAGCUACACCAGAUCAGUGCUGGAUAUCAACCACAAACUGUUUCCAGACACGAGAGAAGAAGAUCAUGAUGGGGAAAUGAAACCAGUUUAGAUGUGAUGAUAAGGAAUCAUUAUUUUUCUGAAACAGUAUCACAUGUCUUAUAUGUAUCACAUGAUCUGUAUCACAGUUGCCUGGAUGGGAUUGUGUGACUUUUUAAGGACAUUUCAUUACUCAUCUGUGUGAACUGAUUAAUUUAUGAUAUUAAUGAAUUUUUGAUGAUCCAUUAUUAUUUUCCUUGAAUCUUAUUUGUCUUGAUGCUACUUUAUCAACUUUAUAGUCUAUGCUUCAAUAAAAU
ensembl:lncRNA